rnacentral:rRNA from 1 species
AUUGAACGCUGGCGGCAGGCCUAACACAUGCAAGUCGAACGGUAACAGGGAGCAGCUUGCUGCUCUGCUGACGAGUGGCGGACGGGUGAGUAAUGUCUGGGAAACUGCCUGAUGGAGGGGGAUAACUACUGGAAACGGUAGCUAAUACCGCAUAACGUCUACGGACCAAAGUGGGGGACCUUCGGGCCUCAUGCCAUCAGAUGUGCCCAGAUGGGAUUAGCUAGUAGGUGGGGUAACGGCUCACCUAGGCGACGAUCCCUAGCUGGUCUGAGAGGAUGACCAGCCACACUGGAACUGAGACACGGUCCAGACUCCUACGGGAGGCAGCAGUGGGGAAUAUUGCACAAUGGGCGCAAGCCUGAUGCAGCCAUGCCGCGUGUAUGAAGAAGGCCUUCGGGUUGUAAAGUACUUUCAGCGGGGAGGAAGGUGUUGUGGUUAAUAACCACAGCAAUUGACGUUACCCGCAGAAGAAGCACCGGCUAACUCCGUGCCAGCAGCCGCGGUAAUACGGAGGGUGCAAGCGUUAAUCGGAAUUACUGGGCGUAAAGCGCACGCAGGCGGUUGAUUAAGUCAGAUGUGAAAUCCCCGGGCUCAACCUGGGAACUGCAUUUGAAACUGGUCAGCUUGAGUCUCGUAGAGGGGGGUAGAAUUCCAGGU